rnacentral:rRNA from 1 species
GACGAACGCUGGCGGCGUGCUUAACACAUGCAAGUCGAACGGAAAGGCCCUGCUUUUGUGGGGUGCUCGAGUGGCGAACGGGUGAGUAACACGUGAGUAACCUGCCCUUGACUUUGGGAUAACUUCAGGAAACUGGGGCUAAUACCGGAUAGGAGCUCCUGCUGCAUGGUGGGGGUUGGAAAGUUUCGGCGGUUGGGGAUGGACUGGCGGCUUAUCAGCUUGUUGGUGGGGUAGUGGCUUACCAAGGCUUUGACGGGUAGUCGGCCUGAGAGGGUGACCGGCCACAUUGGGACUGAGAUACGGCCCAGACUCCUACGGGAGGCAGAAGGGGGGAAUAUUGCACAAUGGGCGGAAGCCUGAUGCAGCAACGCCGCGUGCGGGAUGACGGCCUUCGGGUUGUAAACCGCUUUCGCCUGUGACGAAGCGUGAGUGACGGUAAUGGGUAAAGAAGCACCGGCUAACUACGUG